UGCGGAGGGUGCAAGCGUUGUCCGGAUUUAUUGGGUUUAAAGGGUGCGUAGGCGGCCUAUUAAGUCAGUUCUGAAAUAUCCCGGCUUAACCGGGAGGGUGGGAUUGAUACUGAUGGGCUUGAGUGGAGUCGAGGUAGGCGGAAUUGACGGUGUAGCGGUGAAAUGCUUAGAUAUCGUCAAGAACACCGAUAGUGUAGACAGCUUACUAGACUUCAACUGACGCUGAGGCACGAAAGUGUGGGGAUCAAACAGG
rnacentral:rRNA from 1 species